rnacentral:rRNA from 1 species
AGUGAACGCUGGCGGCGUGCCUAACACAUGCAAGUCGAACGGGCUAGUGCUUCGCACUAGUCUCUUUCUGGGGUUGCUACUCUAAGGCUACCUGCUAAAGUUAUUGCUUUAAAGCAGGGGUUUUAGGGGACUUUCCCCAAAAGGGGCCAGUGCGGAGCACUGGCCAGUGGCGAACGGGUGAGUAACACGUGGGUAAUCUACCCUCGAGUGGGGAAUAAGCUUCCGAAAGGGGGUCUAAUGCCGCAUAACGUUUCAUAACGAUGGUUAUGAACCAAAGCCCAAAAGGCGCUCGAGGAGGAGCCUGCGUCCUAUCAGCUUGUUGGCAGGGUAAUGGCCUACCAAGGCUAUGACGGGUAGCCGGCCUGAGAGGGUGUCCGGCCACACUGGAACUGAGACACGGUCCAGACUCCUACGGGAGGCAGCAGUGGGGAAUUUUGCGCAAUGGGGGAAACCCUGACGCAGCGACGCCGCGUGGAGGAUGACGGCCUUCGGUUGUAAACGUCCUGUCAGAAGGGACGAAAGUCCGACAAC